rnacentral:rRNA from 1 species
AUUGAACGCUGGCGGCAUGCCUUACACAUGCAAGUCGAACGGCAGCACGGGUGCUUGCACCUGGUGGCGAGUGGCGAACGGGUGAGUAAUACAUCGGAACAUGUCCUGUAGUGGGGGAUAGCCCGGCGAAAGCCGGAUUAAUACCGCAUACGAUCUACGGAUGAAAGCGGGGGACCUUCGGGCCUCGCGCUAUAGGGUUGGCCGAUGGCUGAUUAGCUAGUUGGUGGGGUAAAGGCCUACCAAGGCGACGAUCAGUAGCUGGUCGGAGAGGACGACAGCCACACUGGGACUGAGACACGGCCCAGACUCCUACGGGAGGCAGCAGUGGGGAAUUUUGGACAAUGGGCGAAAGCCUGAUCCAGCAAUGCCGCGUGUGUGAAGAAGGCCUUCGGGUUGUAAAGCACUUUUGUCCGGAAAGAAAUCCUUGGCUCUAAUACAGUCGGGGGAUGACGGUACCGGAAGAAUAAGCACCGGCUAACUACGUG